ensembl:lncRNA
AGAAACAUACACUUGCUGUGAGAGCCGGACCAGCCUCUGUGGGUGUGGGCAAGGCGUGAUGGGGUGCAGCAGAGGUUGGGGGAGAGGCAGCACCCACAGGGUCAUCAGGAGGUGUGAGGGGACAAGAAAAGGCGGGGAUCCAAUGGGAGUGGCCCAGAGUGUUGUCCAGAACACACAGACAAGGCUGAGAAGUGUGCCCCGUGGGUCAUGAGGUGGCUGCAGAGCUGUCACUCACCUGCAGAGCUGGGAAGAGAUGUGACGAGAGAGGAGAUGGACUGGCUCUCAGUGGACACAGACCUGGUGGUGGGGAGGGAGGAGCUUCCGUGUGCAGUGAUGGAGCUGGCUAGGAACACAGUAGUCUGCAGCCUGGUGGUACUCGGCUGUCUGGUGGUGAGGUUGGUGGCUGGAGAACUUGGGACGGCUGUCACCCCCAGUGUAGAAGACAGGAGGCCGUGGGUGGGGGUUUGGGUGGUGAGAGAGGUGGACUGGGCGGUGGUGGACUGAGAGGAUGGGACAGAGGAAGUGGGACUGCUGACCGUGGUCCGGGGUGUAGACAGGAUGACCGUACUAACAGUGGGGGCAGGGGACAGGGUGGGAGCUGAUGGAGGUGACAGGGAGGCCCUGAUGGGUGUGGAGGCGGCUGGGGAAGGGGGGCUGGUUGGCAGGGACGCUGUUUGUGACAUGGUCAGAGGUGCAGAGGGCGAGGGACUGUGUGGAGCUGAGCUGACGCUUGGGAUGCUGUGUGAAGUGGAGACUGCAGAAGGGGAAGGGGAAGACGAUAUCAAAGGAGAGGUGUUCGAGGACCCGUGAGGAGGAGGAGAGGAAACAGUGGGCAAGGAGGAGGGGAUUGGGACAGUGGAAGAAGAGGGGUAAUGGGGAAGAGUCGACACAGAAACAGAAGUGGUUAAAGGACUUUGGCUUGGGUUCAGAGAAGCUGGAGAAGACAAUGGAGAGCUGAAGCUAGAGCUUUGUAGUGGUGCUGUGCUGACUGAGCUCUGGGUUUGUGUGGUCCCUGUUGUGGUCUUUGUGAGUGGCAGGGUUGUGGGUGUGGUGCUCCCUAUUGUUGUUGUCAGCAGUGGGGAUAUGGAUGUGGGUGCCAUGGAUGUGACCGGGACGUGUGUCAAUGGCGUUGGGGUGCCAGUAGGCUUUGUGGUGGAGUAGGUAGCAUGGGACUCAGUUGGGGUGAUGACUUGGUGAGAGGUUGAAGUCACAGAUGUUGACACAUGGAUGGGAAGGGUCUCUGGAUGUGAUGGGGUGGAAUGGGUGGUGGUGGUCCGGAAGGAUGUUCCUGUUGGCAGAACUGUUGUGUGAGAGGUGGUGUGGACAGAAAAGGUGGCACUGGAGUGAGUGGUGAAUGGAGUGUGUGGCCCAGUGGGGGCAGCUGUUGUGUGUGUCACGGGUGUUCCAGUGCCUCUACUGGUAGAUGGAAGGGAGAUAGUACUGAGCAGUGGAGAAGUGCUUACAGGGAGGAUGGUUGAAGUAGAAUGUGAUAUUGGGGCUGUGGAGGUUGUUAUUGUGCUGACCAAGUUUUGGGCUUGAGUGGUCCCUGUUGUGGUCUUUGUCAGUGGUGGGACUGUAGGUGCAGUGGUCUUUGUCAGUGGUGUGGCUGUGGAUGUAGUGGUCUCUGUGGUGGUCUUUGUCAGUGGUGUGGCUAUAGGUGUGGUGGACCCUAUGGUGGUCUUUGUCAGUGGUGUGGCUGUGGUGGUUUCUGUUGUGGUCUUUGUCAGUGGUGUGGCUGUGGUGGUCUCUGCGGUGGUCUUUGUCAGUGGUGUGGCUGUGGUGGUCUCUGCGGUGGUCUUUGUCAGUGGUGUGGCUGUGGUGGUCUCUGUGGUGGUCUUUGUCAGUGGUGUGGCUGUGGUGGUUUCUGUGGUGGUCUCUGUCAGUGGUGUGACUGUGGGUGUGGUGGUCUCUGUCAGUGGUGUAGGUGUGGUGGUUUCUGUGGUGGUCUUUGUCAGUGGUGUGGGUGUGGUGGUCUCUGUUGUGGUCAUUGUCAGUGGUGUGGCUGUGGGUGUGGUGGUUUCUGUUGUGGUCUUUGUCAGUGGUGUGUCUGUGGGUGUGGUGGUCUCUGUCAGUGGUGUGGGUGUGGUGGUCUCUGUUGUGGUCUCUGUCAGUGGUGUGUCUGUGGGUGUGGUGGUCUUUGUCAGUGGUGUGGGUGUGGUGGUUUCUGUUGUGGUUGUCAGUGGUGUGGCUCUGGGUGUGGUGGUCUUUGUCAGUGGUGUGGUGGUCUCUGUUGUGGUCUUUGUCACUGGAGUGGCUGUGACUGUGGUGGUUUCUAUUGUGGUUGUCAGUGGUGUGGCUGGGGAUUUGGUGGUCUUUGUCAGUGGUGUGACUGUGGGUGUGGUGGUCUCUGUCAGUGGUGUGGGUGUGGUGGUUUCUGUUGUGGUCUUUGUCAGUGGUGUGACUGUGGUGGUUUUUGUGGUGGUCUUUGUCAGUGGUGUGGGUGUGGUGGUCUCUGUUGUGGUCUUUGUCAGUGGAGUGGCUGUGACUGUGGUGGUUUGUGUUGUAGUCUUUGUCAGUGGUAUGGCUGUGAAUGUGGUGGUCUCUGUCAGUGGUGUGGCUGUGCUGGUUUCUGUGGUGGUUUCUGUCAGUGGUGUGAUUGUGGGUGUAGUGGUUUUUGUGGUGGUCUUUGUCAGUGGUGUGUCUGUGGGUGUGGUGGUCUCUGUUGUCUUUGUCAGUGGUGUGACUGUGGGUGUGGUGGUGUCUGUCAGUGGUGUGACUGUGGGUGUAGUGGUUUUUGUGCUGGUCUCUGUCAGUGGAGUGGCUGUGGAUGUGGUAGUUUUUCUGGUUGUCUUUGUCAGUGGUGUGGCUGUGGGUGUGGUGGUCUCUGUCAGUGGUGUGGCUGUGGGUGUGGUAGUCUCUGUCAGUGGAGUGGCUGUGGAUGUGGUAGUUUCUCUGGUUGUCUUUGUCAGUGGUGUGGCUGUGGGUGUGGUGGUCUCUGUCAGUGGUGUGGGUGUGGGUAUGGUGGUGGUUGUCAGUGGUGUGCCUGUUGGUGUGGUGGUUUCUGUUGUGGUCUCUGUCAGUGGUGUGACUGUGGAUGUGGUGGUUUCUGUGGUGGUCUUUGUCAGUGGUAUGGGUGUGGUGGUCUCUGUUGUGGUCAUUGUCAGUGGUGUGGCUGUGGGUGUGGUGGUCUCUGUCAUUGGUGUGGCUGUGCUGGUUUCUGUGGUGGUCUCUGUCAGUGAUGUGACUGUGGGUGUAGUGGUUUCUGUGGUGGUCUCUGUCAGUGGUGUGACUGUGGGUGUAGUGGUUUCUGUGGUGGUCUCUGUCAGUGGUGUGCCUGUGGGUGUAGUGGUUUCUAUGGUGGUCUCUGUCAGUGAUGUGACUGUGGGUGUAGUGGUUUCUGUUGUGGUCUGUGUCAGUGUUGUGGCUGUGGGUGUGGUGGUUUCUGUUGUGGUCUUUGUCAGUGGUGUGACUGUGGUGGUUUUUGUGGUGGUCUUUGUCAGUGGUGUGGGUGUGGUGGUCUCUGUUGUGGUCUUUGUCAGUGGUGUGACUGUGGGUGUGGUGGUCUCUGUCAGUGGUGUGGCUGUGGGUGUGGUGGUCUUUGUCAGUGGUGUGGCUGUGGGUGUGGUGGUUUCUCUGGUUGUCUUGGUCCAUAGUGUGACUGUGGGUGUGGUUGUCUCUGUUGUAGUCUCUGUCAGUGAUGUCACUGUGGGUGUAGUGGUUUUUGUGGUGGUCUUUGUCAGUGGUGUGGCUGUGGGUAUGGUGGUCUUUGUCAGUGGUGUGGAUGUUGUGGUUUCUGUCAGUGGUGUUCCUGUGGGUGUGGUGGUUUCUGUGGUGGUCUUUGUCAGUGGUGUGCCUGUGGGUGUGGUGGUUUCUGUUGUGGUCUCUGUCAGUGGUGUGGCUGUGGGUGUAGUGGUUUUUGUGGUGGUCUUUGUCAGUGAUGUGACUGUGGAUGUGGUGGUUUCUGUCAGUGGUGUGCCUGUGGGUGUGGUGGUCUCUGUUAUAGUCUCUGUCAGUUGUGUGACUGUGGGUGUAGUGGUUUUUGUGGUGGUCUUUGUCAGUGGUGUGCCUGUGGGUGUGGUGGUUUCUGUUGUGGUCUCUGUCAGUGGCGUGGCUGUGGGUGUGGUGGUCUCUGUCAGUGGUGUGGCUGUGGGUGUAGUGGUUUUUGUGGUGGUCUUUGUCAGUGAUGUGACUGUGGAUGUGGUGGUUUCUGUCAGUGGUGUGGCUGUGGGUGUGGUGGUCUUUGUCAGUCGUGUGUCUGUGGGUGUGGUGGUCUCUGUUGUGGUCUUUGUCAGUGGUGUGACUGUGGAUAUGAUGGUCUCUGUCAGUGGUGUGGCUGUGCUGGUUUCUGUGGUGGUUUCUGUCAGUGGUGUGAUUGUGGGUGUAGUGGUUUUUGUGGUGGUCUUUGUCAGUGGGGUGGGUGUGGUGGUCUCUGUUGUGGUCUUUGUCAGUGGUGUGAUUGUGGGUGUGCUGGUUUCUGUGAGUGGUGUGGCUGUGGUGGUUUCUAUCAGUGGUGUGAUUGUGGGUGUAGUGGUUUUUGUGGUGGUCUUUGUCAGUGGUGUGGGUGUGGUGGUCUCUGUUGUGGUCUUUGUCAGUGGUGUGGCUGUGGGUGUGGUGGUCUUUGUCAGUGGUGUGACUGUGGGUGUGGUGAUCUUUGUCAGUGGUGUGGAUGUUGUGGUUUCUGUCAGUGGUGUUGGUGUGGGUGUGGUGGUCUCUGUUGUGGUCUUUGUCAGUGGUGUGGCUGUGGGUGUGGUGGUCUUUGUCAGUGGUGUGACUGUGGGUGUGGUGAUCUUUGUCAGUGGUGUGGAUGUUGUGGUUUCUGUCAGUGGUGUGUCUGUGGGUGUGGUGCUCUCUAUUGUAGUCUCUGUCAGUGGUGUGACUGUGGGUAUGGUGGUGGUUGUCAGUGGUGUUCCUGUGGGUGUGGUGGUUUCUGUGGUGGUCUUUGUCAGUGGUGUGCCUGUGGGUGUGGUGGUCUCUGUUGUGGUCUCUGUCAGUGAUGUCACUGUGGGUGUAGUGGUUUUUGUGGUGGUCUUUGUCAGUGAUGUGACUGUGGAUGUGGUGGUUUCUGUCAGUGGUGUGGCUGUGGGUGUGGUGGUCUUUGUCAGUGGUGUGGCUGUGGGUGUGGUGGUCUCUGUCUGUGGUGUGGGUGUGGUGGUUUCUGUCAGUGGUGUGGGUGUGGUAGUCUUUGUCAGUGGUGUGACUGUGGGUGUGGUGGUCUCUGUUGUGGUCUCUGUCAGUGGUGUGACUGUGGGUGUGGUGGUUUCUGUCAGUGGUGUGACUGUGGGUGUGGUGGUCUCUGUUAUAGUCUCUGUCAGUUGUGUGACUGUGGGUGUAGUGGUUUUUGUGGUGGUCUUUGUCAGUGAUGUGACAGUGGAUGUGGUGGUUUCUGUCAGUGGUGUGGCUGUGGUGGUCUCUGUCAGUGGUGUGGCGGUGGGUGUGGUGGUUUCUGUGGUGGUCUCUGUCAGUGGUGUGGUGGUUGGUGUGGUGGUCUCUGUAAGUGGUGUGGCUGUGGGUGUGGUGGUCUUUGUCAGUAGUGUGACUGUGGGUGUGGUGGUCAUUGUCAGCGGUGUGGCUGUGGGUGUGGUGGUCUCUGUUGUGGUUGUUGUCAGUGAUGUGACUGUGGAUGUGGUGGUCUCUGUCAGUGGUGUGGCUGUGGGUGUGGUGGUCUUUGUCAGUAGUGUGACUGUGGGUGUGGUGGUCAUUGUCAGCGGUGUGGCUGUGGGUGUGGUGGUCUCUGUUGUGGUUGUUGUCAGUGAUGUGACUGUGGAUGUGGUGGUCUCUGUCAGUAGUGUGACUGUGGGUGUGGUGGUCAUUGUCAGCAGUGUGGCUGUGGGUGUGGUGGUCUCUGUUGUGGUUGUUGUCAGUGAUGUGACUGUGGAUGUGGUGGUCUCUGUCAGUGAUGUGACUGUGGGUGUGGUGGUCUUUGUCAGUGGUGUGGCUGUGGGUGUCAUGGUCUUUGUCAGUGGUGUGGCUGUGGGUGUUGUGGUCUUUGUCAGUAGUGUGACUGUGGGUGUGGUGGUCAUUGUCAGCGGUGUGGCUGUGGGUGUGGUGGUCUCUGUUGUGGUUGUUGUCAGUGAUGUGACUGUGGAUGUGGUGGUCUCUGUCAGUAGUGUGACUGUGGGUGUGGUGGUCAUUGUCAGCAGUGUGGCUGUGGGUGUGGUGGUCUCUGUUGUGGUUGUUGUCAGUGAUGUGACUGUGGAUGUGGUGGUCUCUGUCAGUGAUGUGACUGCGGGUGUGGUGGUCUUUGUCAGUGGUGUGGCUGUGGGUGUCAUGGUCUUUGUCAGUGGUGUGGCUGUGGGUGUGGUGAUCUCUGUCAGUGGUGUGGUGGUGGUGGUUUCUGUGGUGGUAUCUCUCAGUGGUGUGGCUGUGGGUGUGGUGGUCUCUGUCAGUGGUGUGACUGUGGUGGUUUCUGUGGUCGUCUCUGUCAGUGGUGUGGCUGUGGAUGUGGUCUUUGUCAUUGGUGUGGCUGUGGAUGUGGUUUCUGUCAGUGGUGUGGCUGUGGGUGUGGUGGUUUCUGUGGUGGUCUCUGUCAGUGGUGUGGUUGUGGUGGUUUCUGUGGUGGUCUCUGUCAGUGGUGUGGCUGUGGGUGUGGUGGUCUUUGUCAUUGGUGUGGCUGUGGAUGUGGUUUCUGUCAGUGGUGUGUCUGUGGGUGUGGUGGUCUCUGUUGUGGUCUUUGUCAGUGGUAUGACUGUGGGUGUGGUGGUCUUUGUCAGUGGUGUGGCUGUGGGUGUGGUGGUCUCUGUCAGUGGUGUGGCUGUGGGUGUGGUGGUCUCUGUCAGUGGCGUGGCUGUGGGUUUGGAGGUCCCUGUGGUGGUGGUUGUCUGUGGUGUGGCUGUGGGUGUGGUGGUCUCUGUCAGUGGUGUGGCUGUGGGUGUGGUGGUCUCUGUCAGUGGCGUGGCUGUGGGUUUGGAGGUCCCUGUGGUGGUGGUUGUCUGUGGUGUGGCUGUGGGUGUGGUGGUCUCUGUCAGUGGUGUGGCUGUGGGUGUGGUGGUCUCUGUCAGUGGCGUGGCUGUGGGUGUGGUGGUCCCUGUGGUGGUUGUCAGUGGUGUGACUGUAGGUGUGGUGGUGGUAGUCAGUGGUGUGGCUGUGGGUGUGAGCACUGUCUCUGUGACAGGGGUGUGUGUUGAUAGAGAAGGGGUGCCAGUUGUCUUUGUGGUGGAGAAGGUGGUGUGGGACUCGGUCGGGGUGAUAACCUGGUGAGAGGUUGGAGUCACUGAGGAGGUGGCCGAUGUUGACACGUGGACAGGAAGGGUCUCUGGAGGUGGUGGGGUUGGGUAGGCUGUGACUGUGGGUGUGGUGGUCUCUGUCAGUGGUGUGGCUGUGGGUGUGGCUGUGGGUGUGGUGGUUGUGGGUGGAGUUGAUGUCUGGGGUGUGGUGGGGACAGGGAGUGGAAGGGUGGUGCUGGAGUGGGUGAUGGGCAUGGCCGUGGAGGGAGGAGCCGGUGUGUUGGGGCUGGCGCUGCCCUCGGCC